rnacentral:lncRNA from 1 species
GGAGAGGGAACCGAGGACAUCACUUUGCUCAGUGGAUGUUUUUGUUGGGGAAUGAGUGCGUGUGUUUGCAGUGUAAACGUUUUUCAUGGAAAGAGUACGAUAGCGAGAAAUGCCAUUGAAUGUUUUAUUGGGAAUCUAUAUAUAUAUACCAAGAUAAGUCAUGUUAGUGCACCCUUUGCAUUAAGAACUUGUACAACAUGAUGAGUUCUGGUUAAACAAGACGCGACUUUGUAGUCAGCUAAGGACUUUCAUUGCCCCUCCAGGGUUCGACUCAUGCCACCACGUUCACAUCCUUGCUUGCAAGGUCCUGCUGAGUGGACGGUAUUGAUGCCUUUUCAGUCUAGCUCCAGUCUUGUGUCAUUAUGUUAUAAGCACCACGCCACCCCACUCCCGGGUUCAUAACACCCUCACCCUCUCACAUUCUGUGGUGGCUAAUUUCUGCAUUACCAAAUGAGGAGAUUUACAAACUUCACACACCAGUCAGAGUUAUACUUAAUACUACAUCUUUAAUAAUUAAGAUGCUUUUGCAAAAGCACUUGACUUUCAAUGAUGCGCUAUCUCUAAUGAACCAUUGAAAAGUGACUACACAAAAGUACAAAGAGCUUUUAUAGCCAAGAUGCACCCCUUCAACGUACAUGACGAACCACAGAUCUUAGGAACAGUUCACAAAGGUUAAGUUUUGUAUGAAAGAUAUCUAUAAAACAUAGCAGACAGCAACUGCUGUAUCAAGUGUUCAUUGUAUAGACCAGUGUCUGGUCCUCCUACCCCAAACUGGAACAGUCUCUCCCUGGUACGGUAUAGAACAGAACCAUUAGCUCAUCCAAUGGCAUAAAUCAAUUGACAACUCUAGAUACUCCCAUCUCAAGUAAACCCCCUCUUGACUCCACUCCUGGACAAGCUCACUGAGGGGAGUGAGCCUCUAGGUCAUAUACUAUCCCAGGAUAAGUGCAACAUCAGAUGGGACAUACAAGGGUCCAGACGCUGCCGUACACCUUCCCCCAAUGCCAAAGGAGGGAGUGACUUGCGCACAGACAUUGUGGAGACAAGUAAUUGGUUCCCCAUUAAUCACGCCAACCCUUCACGUGGUUUAACAGAUACUUGUCAUAUGUGAAUGUAUCUCACAUAAGCAUAUUAUGCAAAUAAAACAUAUUAAUUAUCUAUGUUACCCAACUAAUUCUGAUUCAUCCGCCACAAUUCUACCAUUUGUCUACACUCCAAGAACAAUGAGAGCCCUCUAGCUGUAGACACCCACAGAUUCAUGACAACUGAGAUUCCCAUAUCCAUAGCCUUCUUAGCUUGUAGGUCUAAGUGUUUUUGUCCUUACUAUGUUGAAAUAUCAAAGACUAAGCUUUUUGUGUGACUCAAGUAAGUCAUUUCAAGUGUCAGCCUUGUUUUCCCUGGCACAUAAAGGUAUCCUACUAACUAGUUCUGUUUAUUUUGACUUUAUAACAUAAAAAUCUUGUUGGGAGCUGAAAAACACAGCUGUAUGUUAAUAAAGCAAUACUACAGCUCAGUGCAAUGGUAAAUGUUAAGUCAGAUGUGGGAUAAAGACAGUAGAGGGGGAAUGCUGUUGUAGUGACAGUCAUCACUAUUUUCAGGACUUUUUUUUUAGGGUCACAGCUAGAGGUCGACCGAUUAAUCGGAAUGGCCGGUUAAUCAGGGCCGAUUUCAAGUUUUCAUAACAAUCGGUAAUCGGUAUUUUUGGCCACCCGAUUUGCCGAAUUUUAUUUUCAUUUAUUUUUUAUUUUUAUUUUUUUAAAUGUAUUAUUAUAUUUCUAUUUUUAUGUAUUUUUUUAACAUUUUUUUUGUUAAUUUUUUUUUUUCUAUAAAUAUUUUUUAACUAGGAAAGUCAGUUAAGAACACAUUCUUAUUUUCAAUGAUGGCCUAGGAACGGUGGGUUAACUGCCUUGUUCAGGGGCAGAACGACACAUUUUUAUCUUGUCAGCUUGGGGAUUCAAUCUUGCAACCUUACGGUUAACUAGUCCAAUGCUCAAACCACCUGCUGCACUCCACGAGGAGCCUGCCUGUUACGCGAAUGCAGUAAGAAGCCAAGAAAACAUACAACAAAAUUACUGAGUUAGCACAUUAGAAACAGAGCCUGUCAUGAAACUUGCAAAUAAAGAUGAGAAUAGUUCAAAAUGAGAAGAUCAUGCCAUGGAAAAGACGACUGAGUGAACAUAAAGUGGAAAGGAGGAGAAAUAACUCACACCAUGCAGCAGGACACCUUCAGCUGUGGGGACUUGGUAAUGCAGGUUUGAUAGUUAUAUUUUCAAUAAUGAAUGGUUAGCAGUUAUGUGACAAUUAGGUCAAACUCUAUUUUAUUUUGUUGGUGUAGAUGGCCAAGGAAGUUGCACAGAACUUCCCCAACAUCCCCUCCAAAAUUGUUAAAGAACCUUAACAAUGAGCAACUGCGAAAAGAAAUGGCUGAGGAUAUACUAAAAAUGUCUGGUAUGUUAUGACAUUUAAUUGAAAAAUUCAUGUAAAAACGUGUGAGAUGAAAAUGGACAAACCAAA